UUAAGACCAUCAGAACUAAUCUCAAAAUCCCUUUAUUCAUAUUUAAAUCUGCCACCAGAGGUUUACAACUCCCAAAUCAUUCCUUCUCCCAAAACAGCGCUGAACAUCCUCAAGGACUAAAGCCUUUCUACUCACUAGGACAUGGAUGAAUCUGGAAAACAUCAUCCUCAGCAAACUGACACAAGAACAGAAAAUGAAACACCGCAUAUUCUCACUCAUAGGACAAUCCCUCCAGACAAGGAGAGCAAAAGAGACAGCAAUGAAUCAAGAUCCUUAAAAUCACUGUCACCUAUCUCAGAAAUUCCAGCUAGUCACAGGAUUCAGAAACAAUCCCUAUUCUGAUAAUUAAGCCUGAGCUGAUAACCACCAAACCAAUGCUGGAACUAGGACAGAUGUCGAUGAUACAGCCAGGACCCAGGAAUGCCACACUGGCUGCCUGCACAGGCUGGCCCUAAUCAUUAUUUCACUCCUGCAAGUAACAUGACUUUACAUUUCAUGUGACUGAUUUUUUUAGACUUUGCUUACUACAUAGAGUUUUACUAUACCCAGUAACUAAUCAAUGCCAUCUGUGCCCACCACAGCACAGCAGGUGACAGAUACAGCUACUCCCUCUGCUACCAGUCCCUCCUCAGAGAAGCACAGUGAUUUAUCACACAGGAAAAGCAGAGGGAAGCUAGUGUUGCUGUUACAGAGUACAGCUGUGGACAGAAGGGUUAUUGGGAGAAAGAAAAGGGAGAAGAGGUCAGCCACAGUGUCUCACGACUGUAACCCAACACUUUGGAAGGCUGAGGCAGGCAGAUCACCUGAGCUCAGGAAUUCAAGACCAGCCUAGCCAACCUGGUGAAACCCAGUCUCUACUAAAAAUACAAAAAUUAGCUGGGUAUGGUGGUGCACACCUGUAAUCCCAGCUACUGGGGAGGCUGAGGCAGGAAAAUCACUUGAACCCAGGAGGCAGAGGUUGCAGUGAGCUGAGACUACGACAGUGCAAUCCAGCUUGGGAGACAGAGCAAGACUCCAUCUCAAAAAAAAAAAACAACAGAGAGAAGGUAGUCAGUUAAGUAAUAAACUAUUUCAAUAGACAAAA